CAGGAGCCGUGCGCGCCUAUGGUGAGCCCGUCUGGCUGCAGCCCAAGGGACGGACGGACGCCUUAGAGCUCCUCGGAGAGGGCAGGAAGGUGGGCAGCCAGCGCCCCAAGAGGCCAAGCACCCCACUGCUGGCACAGCAGCUUCAGUUUGAUGUGCACGUUCCAAAGGGGUCGAGGUGAUGAGCAGAAAGCCAUGUAUGCCAACUUGGACUGUUUGAAGGAGCCAUGCAACGUAACUAUACUGAGAAAGAAUAGACGGCUCUUUUGUCGUCACUGCUUUGGAAGAAGUUGGUGUUUGCUGGAAGGAAGAGAUCACGGUCCUGAGACCCUGGAGGUUUGAAUGCUUGCCAGAGAAGUUACAGAUGCAACGAGCUUUCUCUGAACUGCGUCUCUGGAGGCUGUGCGGGUUUCUCUUUGUGAGUCAGGGUGGGCGAGUUGCCGGCAUGCUCGUUCGCAAACCGGACAUCAGCCCACCUUUCUCCGCAAGCAGAAGUGGAGGCUGCGGAGGAGACACGGCUGAAGCUUUCUGAAUGGGAUGGUCAAAAACUGUUUGAGAGCCAGGGGCUCCUUCUGCUCCUGAGGAAUUGUGCAAGUUCCCUUCCCACCUGUGCCUGAAAGGCACCAUCCUUGGACCGUAUCUACUGCCUUUCUCAACCAGGCUUCUGCAACAUCCCCAAAACCCAGUGUUUGCACUUUCUUCCGGGUUUCUCUUCCUCUGCUGGCGAAACUGCUGUGCCUACGAUCUUUUGCAAGUCUUCUGGGUAUUUUGAGCUUUGUACCAGGUCACCUUGUGUAGUUUUGCCGUUGCAUGAACUGGAAAUUUCUGCUGAGCUGGAAACUUUUUUUUUUCUUUUUCCAGGGGUUUGGGAGAUGACACAGAGUCCCAAACCCUGAUCAGCAGAAAAGUUUGACAGAGCCAGCCUUGGGGGAGUUUCUGGUAAUCCACUUUUUCUUUUAGUCUUUACCCUGGUAGCCUCAGUGCCUCCGUGGACGGAAAUCUCACUCUCUCGCUCAUCUGGGUCCCAUUAUGAAGGGGGCUUAGAAGCACAGCCUCAUAACGUAAGAAUUUUGUGGUUCCCUCAGCCCUGCUCGCUCUUUUUUCUUUUCUCUGAACCUCAGCGUGCUUGGCUUAACUUAACAUAACGUAAUUGGGGCAUUUUUGGGAGAUGACAAAACCCUCCUUUCCCUCUCUCUCUCCCGCUCAUGUUGAAGGUACAACAGCUUCGUGCCCUAUUGUUUCCUUGACUGACUCAUUUGGGAAUGCUUUUUUCUCAAAAUGACAAACAAGUUUCUCGAGCUGCCCCGAAACUUGGAUUCUGGCAUCGAUUCGGUGCUGAGAUGCCUCCCUUGAAGCACUCAGCGGACAUGAAUACACUGGGCAUUUUGGCAUUCUUGAGGCAGACGAGGGGCAUCCAUGAAAAUGUCCAAAUGCACUGAGCUUCCGUUUGUGCGUCUGUAUGUCGCAAACUAGAUCUGUGGUUCAUAGCUGCCACUCAGAAGGCUCCCACCACAUCAGAGUGGCCCAGAAAGGAAAACUCUGCCGGCUGCGUGUCUCUGCUCCCAUCAGUGCCGCAGCGAUAGAAAGAAAGUGUAUGGGGCAGAAUUUUCUCUUCAGUGCAGCUGUUAAAGCAACAGGAGUCCCAUCAAAGCCGAUAAAGAUCUGGUACUGCCAAUUUCUUGCAAGAAGGAAUUUUACAGCAUAUUGGUCUGCAGUUGGGUAGUCAUUCAAAUUGUUUUGUUAGCUGAUUUUUCUGCAAAAAAGCUAGGAAGUUUUCUUAGCUGAAUGGGAAAGUAAAAACCUUGCAUGCAAAAGAGACUUGGUUGAGACUUUUUCAGCAAAAAAGGUUUUUUUCUAUCAGACACCACAGUGUCUCUUUAUUAAAGGACUGCCUAAUUCAUCUAA